rnacentral:lncRNA from 1 species
CGCUGCCAGCUCUCGCACUCUGUUCUUCCGCCGCUCCGCCGUCGCGUUUCUCUGCCGGUGAGCGCCCCGCCCCGGGGCCUGAGCUGGACGUCGCAGGCCUGCGCCCCCCGACCCCGGCUGGCCCCGCUUCCAGCUGCCGAGGCCUCGUCGCGCCUUCCCCGGGAACAAAAGGCGGGGGUAUUAACGUGUCAGGGCUGAGUGUUCUGGGAUUUCUCUAGAGGCUGGCAAGAACCAGUUGUUUUGUCUUGCGGGUCUGUCAGGGUUGGAAAGUCCAAGCCGUAGGACCCAGUUUCCUUUCUUAGCUGAUGUCUUUGGCCAGAACACCGUGGGCUGUUACUUGCUUUGAGUUGGAAGCGGUUUGCAUUUACGCCUGUAAAUGUAUUCAUUCUUAAUUUAUGUAAGGUUUUUUUUGUACGCAAUUCUCGAUUCUUUGAAGAGAUGACAACAAAUUUUGGUUUUCUACUGUUAUGUGAGAACAUUAGGCCCCAGCAACACGUCAUUGUGUAAGGAAAAAUAAAAGUGCUGCCGUAACC